rnacentral:misc_RNA from 1 species
GAUGAAGAACGCAGCGAAAUGCGAUAAGUAAUGCGAAUUGCAGAAUUCAGUGAGUCAUCGAAUCUUUGAACGCACAUUGCGCCCUGUGGUAUUCCGCAGGGCAUGCCUGUUCGAGCGUCAUUUCAACCCUCAAGCUCUGCUUGGUGUUGGGCCUUGCCCGCUGCGGCCGGCCCUAAAGACAGUGGCGGUGCCGCCUGGCCCUGAGCGUAGUACAUCUCUCGCUCCAGUGCCCGGUGGUAGCCUGCCAGAACCCCAACUCUCGUGGUUGACCUCGGAUCAGGUAGGGAUACCCGCUGAACUUAAGCAUAUCAAUAAGCGGAGGA